rnacentral:rRNA from 1 species
AAAUUGAAGAGUUUGAUCAUGGCUCAGAUUGAACGCUGGCGGCAGGCCUAACACAUGCAAGUCGAACGGUAACAGAAAGCAGCUUGCUGCUUUGCUGACGAGUGGCGGACGGGUGAGUAAUGUCUGGGAAACUGCCUGAUGGAGGGGGAUAACUACUGGAAACGGUAGCUAAUACCGCAUAACGUCGCAAGACCAAAGAGGGGGACCUUCGGGCCUCUUGCCAUCGGAUGUGCCCAGAUGGGAUUAGCUU